CAGUAGCCGCGGUAAAACGGAGGGCGCGAGCGUUACCCGGGUUUACUGGGCGUAAAGGGCGUGUAGGCGGCCUGGGGCGUCCCAUGUGAAAGGCCACGGCUCAACCGUGGAGGAGCGUGGGAUACGCUCAGGCUAGAGGGUGGGAGAGGGUGGUGGAAUUCCCGGAGUAGCGGUGAAAUGCGCAGAUACCGGGAGGAACGCCGAUGGCGAAGGCAGCCACCUGGUCCACUUCUGACGCUGAGGCGCGAAAGCGUGGGGAGCAAACCGGAUUAGAUACCCCGGUAGUCCCUGUCUCUUAUAC
rnacentral:rRNA from 1 species